rnacentral:rRNA from 1 species
UACGGAGGGUGCGAGCGUUAAUCGGAAUAACUGGGCGUAAAGGGCACGCAGGCGGGCUUUUAAGUGAGAUGUGAAAUCCCCGGGCUUAACCUGGGAAUAGCAUUUCAGACUGGGAGGCUAGAGUACUUUAGGGAGGGGUAGAAUUCCACGUGUAGCGGUGAAAUGCGUAGAGAUGGGGAGGAAUACCGAAGGCGAAGGCAGCCCCUUGGGACUUUACCGACGCUCAUGUGCGAAAGCUAGGGGAGCAAACAGG